rnacentral:rRNA from 1 species
UACGUAGGUGGCAAGCGUUGUUCGGAUUUACCGGGCGUAAAGGGCGCGUAGGCGGCGCCGCAAGUCGACUGUGAAAUCUCCGGGCUUAACCCGGAAAGGUCAGCCGAUACUGCGGGGCUAGAGUGCAGAAGGGGCAACUGGAAUUCUCGGUGUAGCGGUGAAAUGCGUAGAUAUCGGGAGGAACACCAAUGGCGAAGGCAGCUCGCUGGGACGUGACUGACGCUGAGACGCGAAAGCGUGGGGAGCAAACAGG